AAGUCCUCAUGGCCCUUAUAGUGGGGCUACACACGUCAUACAAUGGCUGGUACAAAGGGUUGCCAACCCGCGAGGGGAGCCAAUCCCAUAAAGCCAGUCGUAGUCCGGAUCGUAGUCUGCAACUCGACUACGUGAAGUCGGAAUCGCUAGUAAUCGUGGAUCAGAAUGUCACGGUGAAUACGUUCCCGGGUCUU
rnacentral:rRNA from 1 species